rnacentral:rRNA from 1 species
AUUGAACGCUGGCGGCAGGCCUAACACAUGCAAGUCGAGCGGAUGAUGGGAGCUUGCUCCUGGAUUCAGCGGCGGACGGGUGAGUAAUGCCUAGGAAUCUGCCUGGUAGUGGGGGACAACGUUUCGAAAGGAACGCUAAUACCGCAUACGUCCUACGGGAGAAAGCAGGGGACCUUCGGGCCUAGCGCUAUCAGAUGAGCCUAGGUCGGAUUAGCUUGUUGGUGAGGUAAGGGCUCACCAAGGCGACGAUCCGUAACUGGUCUGAGAGGAUGAUCAGUCACACUGGAACUGAGACACGGUCCAGACUCCUACGGGAGGCAGCAGUGGGGAAUAUUGGACAAUGGGCGAAAGCCUGAUCCAGCCAUGCCGCGUGUGUGAAGAAGGUCUUCGGAUUGUAAAGCACUUUAAGUUGGGAGGAAGGGUUGUAGAUUAAUACUCUGCAAUUUUGACGUUACCGACAGAAUAAGCACCGGCUAACUCUGUGCCAGCCGCCGCCGUAAUAC